rnacentral:rRNA from 1 species
UGGGGAAUAUUGCACAAUGGGCGAAAGCCUGAUGCAGCGACGCCGCGUGAGGGAUGACUGCCUUCGGGUUGUAAACCUCUUUCAGCAGGGACGAAGCGCAAGUGACGGUACCUGCAGAAGAAGCACCGGCCAACUACGUGCCAGCAGCCGCGGUAAUACGUAGGGUGCAAGCGUUGUCCGGAAUUAUUGGGCGUAAAGAGCUCGUAGGCGGUCUGUCGCGUCGGCUGUGAAAACCUGGGGCUUAACCCCGGGCC